GACGAACGCUGGCGGCGUGCUUAACACAUGCAAGUCGAACGGAAAGGCCCUGCUUUUGUGGGGUGCUCGAGUGGCGAACGGGUGAGUAACACGUGAGUAACCUGCCCUUGACUUUGGGAUAACUUCAGGAAACUGGGGCUAAUACCGGAUAGGAGCUCCUGCUGCAUGGUGGGGGUUGGAAAGUUUCGGCGGUUGGGGAUGGACUCGCGGCUUAUCAGCUUGUUGGUGGGGUAGUGGCUUACCAAGGCUUUGACGAGUAGCCGGCCUGAGAGGGUGACCGGCCACAUUGGGACUGAGAUACGGCCCAGACGCCUACGGGAGGCAGCAGUGGGGAAUAUUGCACAAUGGGCGGAAGCCUGAUGCAGCAACGCCGCGUGCGGGAUGACGGCCUUCGGGUGGGAAACCGCUUUCGCCUGUGACGAAGCGUGAGUGACGGUAAUGGGGAAAGAAGCACCGGCUAACUACGU
rnacentral:rRNA from 1 species